GACGAACCGUGCGAACGUUAUUCGGAAUCACUGGGCUUAAAGCGCGUGUAGGCGGGACGGUGCAUCGGCCGCUGAAAGCCCCCGGCUCAACCGGGGCAGGGGCGCCGAGAUGACCGUCCUGGAGGGGCGUAGGGGGAUCGGGAACUUCCGGUGGAGCGGUGAAAUGCGUUGAGAUCGGAAGGAACGCCCGCGGCGAAAGCGCGGUCCUGGACGCCUACUGACGCUGAGACGCGAAAGCCAGGGGAGCGAACGG
rnacentral:rRNA from 1 species